rfam:Gossypium arboreum cultivar AKA8401 contig_7715_9, whole genome shotgun sequence.
UGUUAAAAUUUUUAUCUAUUUGUACUGUUAAAAACUAGUACGACUAACGAAAUAAUUAGACAGUGACAUGCCCAUGCCACGUGUACUUCAUGCUAACGUACAAUGACAAAUUUUUAACAGUAGAAAUAGAUGAAAGUUUUAACA